rnacentral:lncRNA from 1 species
GACCCUCUGCCUACAGACCAGCGCCCCCAACCUCUGCUGUUGUCUCGAGCAGCCCAGUGGGAUCCCUGGCUGCCCCUGGCAUGCCAGCAGCACCCUCUGGGUUGUGCCAACCCCAAAAGACUUCCGACAUUGCCAGAUGUCCCCCGAUAGGCACUAGCACCCCAGGUUGAUUACCGCUGCUAUAGAUGCUCUCCAGACGGUGGCUCUCUGGUUCCAGGCACCGACAGGCAUGGAAAAUCCAGCCCCAAACUGGAUCACAGCAGCCGAAACCCAAGAUCGAGAAGAGUCUUCAAGGAAGAAAGGGAAACACUUGCAUUCUACUGCACUUCAAUUAAGCAGAGGGGAAGAGGGAGAGAAACAGAGGCUGUAAUUGAUGGGGCGCCUGGUUCCGGUCCGCCCACUCACCAGCUCGUGCUGGAGCCUCUGGCUGUGCGGCUGCAGCCCUGGCAGCUGGGACCCGAGAGCGGUAACCUCGCUAAUUCAAUAAAUGAACUCUGACAGCCUAAAUGGUUGUUUGGACGGAUCCUCUCUCAUCCCCCCCGCCCCCGGCUGCCCAAAACCUCAACUAAAAUAAAAUAAAUUAAAUACAACA